rnacentral:rRNA from 1 species
AUACGGAGGAUGCGAGCGUUAUCCGGAUUUAUUGGGUUUAAAGGGAGCGUAGGUGGGAUAUUAAGUCAGCUGUGAAAGUUUGGGGCUCAACCUUAAAAUUGCAGUUGAUACUGGUUUCCUUGAGUACAGUUGAGGUAGGCGGAAUGUGGUGUGUAGCGGUGAAAUGCAUAGAUAUACCACAGAACGCCGAUUGCGAAGGCAGCUUACUAAGCUGUUACUGACGCUGAGGCACGAAAGCGUGGGGAUCAAACAGGAUUAGAUACCCUGGUAGUCCACGCAGUAAACGAUGAUCACUAGCUGUUUGCGAUACACUGUAAGCGGCACAGCGAAAGCGUUAAGUGAUCCACCUGGGGAGUACGCCGGCAACGGUGAAACUCAAAGGAAUUGGCGGGG